AUUGAACGCUGGCGGCAGGCCUAACACAUGCAAGUCGAACGGUAACAGGAAACAGCUUGCUGUUUCGCUGACGAGUGGCGGACGGGUGAGUAAUGUCUGGGAAACUGCCUGAUGGAGGGGGAUAACUACUGGAAACGGUAGCUAAUACCGCAUAACGUCGCGAGACCAAAGAGGGGGACCUUCGGGCCUCUUGCCAUCGGAUGUGCCCAGAUGGGAUUAGCUUGUUGGUGGGGUAACGGCUCACCAAGGCGACGAUCCCUAGCUGGUCUGAGAGGAUGACCAGCCACACUGGAACUGAGACACGGUCCAGACUCCUACGGGAGGCAGCAGUGGGGAAUAUUGCACAAUGGGCGCAAGCCUGAUGCAGCCAUGCCGCGUGUAUGAAGAAGGCCUUCGGGUUGUAAAGUACUUUCAGCGGGGAGGAAGGGAGUAAAGUUAAUACCUUUGCUCAUUGACGUUACCCGCAGAAGAAGCACCGGCUAACUCCGUGCCAGCAGCCGCCGUAAAAC
rnacentral:rRNA from 1 species